rnacentral:lncRNA from 1 species
UAAGUGGGCACAUGGGAGCACCCUCAGCUCCCUCUCCAUGGGAUACCCUGUGGGGCACUUCAGAGUCCCCACCAGCAAGAAGGCUCUCUCUCACCAGAUGUGCCCCCCGCCAACCUUGGAUGUCUCAGUCUCCAGAACUCAGAUGAGCCAGCUCCCUUGUGAAGCUGUAAGAACAUGGUACUUACAGGAGUAAGGCUCAUGAAGUGGAGAGAUGAGAAGACUUUCGGGACAGAUUGUGUGGAGGCUGUCAUUCUCCUCGUGACAUUGCUGUGGGAGAAGAAGGAGGCAUUCCAUGUUGGCUUCAGUGAAGAACUUCAGAACGCAAAAGAUUCUUCAAAAUCAAACUGUGUCCGGAAUUGGUGGGUUCUUGGUCUCACUGACUUCAAGAAUGAAGCCACGGACCCUGGCGGUGAGUGUUACAGCUCUUAAGGUGGCGUUUCUGGAGUCUGUCCCUUCUGAUGUUCAGAUGUGUUCGGAGUUUCUUCCUUCUGGUGGGUUCGUGGUCUCGCUGGCUCAGGAGUGAAGCUGCAGAUCUUCACGGUUGCUAGUAACACAAUAAUAAAGCUGCUUUAUUUUCCAGUGAAGAUGUAUGUGAUAGGGAGUGGAGGAAGAAAAAGGCCAGAAAAUUCCAUAGUUAGCAAAUAUACCUUUCUUACUUAAAAUUCUUUUUCCAAUGUGAGCCUUCUAAAGAGUUACUGAGAAAUUAGGUGAGCUCACCUCAUUUAAUGCAAUAGAUAUGUUUCUGAAAAAUAAGCAAUACAUAGGACAUUGGCCAAUUAAGAAUUCUGAUGAAGAAGAAUUUUCACAUCCGAAAGAGUAAAAAUGAAAAACGGUACAAAUGUAGUGGCUUUUAAAUUUCAAAACAAAUUAUUUUGAUAAGAUAAAUAUUCCUCUCAUAAAGUGAAAAUGGAAGAGACUGCUUGCUGGGUGUUCGUCAAAAUGGAGUUAGAUGGUCUGUCCCAGACUCCCCUGUUGUUAGUUCUGAGAACAGAAGUAAUGGUGCUUCUUCAGGACUGGCUCAUAGAAACCUGCCGUGUUCAGCCCCCACAAUCCUCUCCCUUCUGCUGGCUGGAAACAAAUGACAACGAAGCCUCACGUCUUGGAGAAACCACACUGCUGAGGAACUCAAGUCCUAGAAGAACCAUUUGAAGAGACCCAUCUCACUAAAGAAAAUCACACAAGCAAGAAGUAAACUUCAUUGUAUCUAUGUAUUUAAUUGUCAUAACAGUCUACCUUAACUGAUACAGCAAAAAUUCGCUCCUUUUCUGGACACCCAGUUUCAAAAUCUCAGUGUCAUUUUUUACUUCUCUCUUUUCAGGUUGUUUAAUAUAAUAAAAUUUGUGUGUGUGUGUGUGUGUGUGUGACAAGGUCUUGCUCUGUUGCCCAGGCUGGAGUGCAAUGGCACGCUCCCAGCCCACUACAGCCUUGACCUCCAAGCUCAAGUGUUCCUCCCACCUCAGCCUCCAGAGUAACUGGGACUACAGGCAUGGGCCACCACACCCGGCUAAUUUUUGUACUUUUUGUAGAGACAGGGUUUCACCAUGUUGCCCAGGCUGGUCUUGAACCCCUGGGCUCAAGCGAUCUGCCCAUCUCCACCUCCCAAAAUUCUAGGAUUACAGGCGUGAGCCACUACACCCAACCAUUUUAUUUUUAAAAGUUUUCUUUGCAAUAUUGCUCACAUUGUUUCCUUCCUUUUUAUUCUUAUUGUCACUCCCAAGUUCAGGCUUUUACCUCUUUUAUUUGAAGUAUUAAAGUAUACUUCUAAGUCAUUUCUGUGGCUUAAAUUUAUUUAAUCCACUCCAUCCUGCAUCCUACCAACACAAUAACAUUGUUUCAUCAUUUCAAAUUGAAAUCGAAACUCUCCAAAGCUUUCCUACUGCUGAAUGGAUAAAAACACAAAAUCCUCAAUAGAGAAUUCACUUUCUGGAGCCAACUUACCUUUCCAAAUAUUUCCCAUUAUUCCCUAAGAGAAUCCUCCUGACAUACUCACUGUUUUUCAUAUACACUAGACCUUUUCUCAACCACCUAUUUGUCCACACAUUUUUCUUCCAGCUAGAAUAUUAUUUUCCCUUUCUCACUUCUGAAAGUCUUACCUGUCAUUCAUGGUUCAUCUCAAGCUCAAUCUUCUCCUUGAAACCUUUAAGCAUACCCUCCUGGAAAGUUAUCUCCCUCACCUCGAACCACCCCCCCAGCCCCUGCCAGAAUCUCCUAUAGGGCUGAUUGUUUAUCCUGCUUAUUAUAUAUUUAUAAAACACUCCACUGAGUUAUUAAUUACCUUUUCCUUGACUGUGAAAACAUGACUCUGGCUUCAAGGUAGGACCAUUUUUUCUCUAACACUGUGUCUCAUACACUUCAGCACAAGCUCUUAGUGGCCUGUGCAUUCAACUCCCAUGCAUAGCCACUUCCUCCAGGCAAACCCCACAGCCAGCAUCCAAAUUUUAAAAGGGGUUCUGUCAUCAACCCAAAGUUUCUUCUCUCUCAAGGAACCUAGAUUUAGAAGUUGAGUCUAGGCCACCUGUCUAAGAUACAGUAGUUAAUUUAACAUAUUUUAUUGCUCUCAACAUCACAGAGAAAGAGCCUUACUGCAGAUCUCAUUCUUUCCUUCAAAGCCAGUUUGCCCAUUCCUCUUCAGAAACCUUUAAGAGUGGUUAUUGGGAGAGAUGAUAAGACUCCAUCUGCUUAAGGAGUCCCUCUAACCCAGAAUAGUAGAUGUAAACACCUGACAUGUUGUUAUAGAGUGAAUGUUUGUGUUCCCCUCCAAUCCAUAUGUUGAAAUUCCAAGCCCCAAUGUGUUCGCAUUGGGAGGUGAGGCCUUUGGGAGGUAAAUAGAUCAUGAAGGUGAAGUCUUCAUGAAUGGAUUAGUGUCCUUAUAAAAGAGACCCCAGAGAGCUCUCUCAUCCUGUUUCUGCCAUGUGAGGACACAGCAAGAAGUUGGUCAUCUGCAACCUGAAGUGGCUCCUCCCCAGAAACUGAAUCUGCUGGGGUCUUAAUGGUGGGCUUCCCAGCCUCCAGAAUUAUGAGUGUAAAUGUUUGUUGUUUAAGCUACCCAGUCUAGGGUAGUUUGCUAUACUACCCCAAACUGACUAAGAUACAUAUGUUUGUCAUCCACUCAGUUGUUUUCCUAAAAUAAAUGAAGUCAGCUCCAAAGAUGAAUUUUCAUCUCUUUUUGUAGAGAUGGGUGCUAUUAUGCUUUUUAAUGAACGUUUAUUCACAAAUAAAAACAAAACAUACCUCUCACAUCCUCAGAGCAAAUACUUACAGUAACAUACAUUGAUGCUCACAAGCUCAUUACAUUUCAUGUUUACUAUUCAUUGAUAACAUUACAUUUAUUAUUAUCACAUAAACCAUACCUCCUGUUUAUGAAGCACUUAUGGUGUUUUAGUCAAUGUUAUGGUACCUGCUAUAUAUGGUCUCUAAUUUUAUUUUAACUUCCUAUAGUAAACAAUAUUAGGUGCUAACUCAAUAGUCAUUUUCUAACCUGAUUUUUCCUUGCAAACAGAACCCCAAAUUUGUUUGGAGAGAAAUGUGUCCAAAUCCAAACAAAGCAUCACCAUUUCUUUGAACCAUCAUAAGGAUCUAAUCAUUUUUUUUGUUUUCCUAGCCUCCCUCUAGCCAGAGAUACUGGGUAACACAGUUCUGGCUGAGAAGACAAGAGAAGAAAUCUGCUAAGCAUUUCUGGAAAAAGUUUUGAUUUGCUGAUGAAAGGGAACAGACAUACUGGUUGCCUUCCUUUUCCCUUUCAGCUGCCUAGUCGCCAUUUUGCAAUGUGAAACAACAUCAUUAAGGAAAGAUCAAAACAAUUGCAGAGAUGUCAACCAUCAUGCCUUUGAAUUCAUGCUCACAGUUGUCUGCCUCCAGAUUCAGUUAUAUUUGAGGUACUCUUUGAGUUAAGAUCCUUCUCAUUUUAUACCACUUGCAGCUGAACACACUCCCCACUAAUUUACCUUGUAAGGUGAAUUUCACUUAAAGGAAGAACACAUAAGUCAGGGAAUGACACAUAAUAGUAAAUGCAGGGUUUUUUUUUCUAUUUAUGAUAUAGAUUUAUACAACUGCUAUGUUCUUGACAUUGUACCAAUUUCAAGGUACAAAUAAGACAUAAUCCCUAAAAGCAUGGGUUACAAAAUCUGGGUUCAGCAUAGGGUUUCAUGAUAAACAAACAAACACAAAUUGUUUUUUAUUGUAUUUCCUUCUUCUUCACAUCUUGUGAAUCUAAGAAAAAUAUCAGAAUGUUCGUUUCAGCUCAAUUUUUGAAGAGUACAAUCUCUAAGUAAAAAGAAACUGUAAAUGUUUAUAAAUGUAACUAGAGCCUAGUAGAAAAUAAAGCCAUGCAAGUGUGUUUAGGUCCUAAUCUUAUUAACCAGAUUAGUGACACACAGUCUGCCCAAAGUUAAUGAAAGCAGUGAGGUUCUUUGACUUCAGUAGAUACACACCUGAACCACAGAGAUAAACUUGCUUCAAACCUGUGCGAUAUGUUUUUCUAAGCAUAAAAUUGAGCAUGAUAGCUCCAAUUUCAGUCUCAGUUUCAAAGCUUCCCUUUCCCGAAUAAGAGGCAAACUGUCACAUUAAAUUUAGCGAAUUAAAAUCAGUUAACUUGAAAAGCUCUUGGCCCCAAUGCAGAGAAAAUUGUUUGCAUAAUAAUAACUUAUUUCCUUUUUUAAAAGGCGGACUUCUGCCUGAAUGCUUCUAUAAACUUUUAAGAAAAUGGGAUUCUCAAAUCUCAAGCGUAUUGGGUUGCAGUUGGCACUUGAAGCUGGGGACAUGCAGAGCUGGCUAAUGUCAGCAGCUGUAGGACUGUCAAGAAAAAUAGGUGGAAGGGACACUUUUAUUAUAAGUAGACUUGCAAGGCAUUCCAACUUUCAGCUGCUCAACCCAGUAUACCAAACACCUCUGACUACCUCAAGUGUGGCCUUGCUGAGUGCUUCCAUAUUUAGGGGUUAUUAGACAGGACUGAAGCAAGUGACCUCUAAUGAGGAAGCAAUCAGGGCAGGCUCUGACCCUCCUCAGAGGUACUGUAAUGAACUGGCCUUGGAAGGUCUUUGAUGCUGCCUUUGCAUACUGUAUAUGAGCUUUCUGCUCAGUCAUUUCCUCUGCGCUCUGGUAGCACAGCAUGAAGCCUGCUAUUAGAAAAAAGGUUUAUUGCUACCUUGCAAACAUUUAUUGGGUAAUAUCUAAAACAUGGUGUCAAGUUAUAGUAAUGCGCUGUUCUGGGAAACUUUUUGAGAAUUUUAGUGUUUCAGAAGAUGGUCCUUUGAGAAUUCUUCUGUUUCAGAAAUGAAAAGUGGUAGAUAUAUACGUGUGUGUGUAUAAUAUGCUCAUGUAUCCUCUGAUUACUUGCCAGAGAUGUACCAUUUUUCUUUCAAGGGAAACAUCUAUUCCUAAGAUAGAUUAUUCUUGAAAUUUUCAAAGAGUAUGCCUCAGAGAACAAAUAUACAAAUUUACCAUUUGUCUGCAGAUAUUAUUUGCCUGUGUUUAUGCUAGGUCACUGACACCACACACAUUUUAAUCCCCAAGGGAAUUUAUUUGGUGGUGUUAUCUACUCAACCAAGCUGAAGCUUAUCUAGUUCACAAGAAAAUAGUCAAUAUGAGCUCCAUGCAGACUUAUGCUGUUAAUGCAGAAGAGGGAAAGAGAAUUUACCUUUAACUGUUAUGAUGAAAAUGUGUACAAUGACACUUAACUAUGGCAUGCAAAUCCUCUUUUCCUCCCCCACAGGUAUCUGGAAAGUACCUUAUACAGCUAGGUGCUUAGAAAAUGUUUAUUGAUUAAAUAGAUGAUGAUUAACAGAUUAAUAAAAGGUGAAAGUUACUAUCUAUGCAUUUUUUUCCAGUUUGAUGUUCAAAAACUUACCAAUGGAUGGGGAGUUGCUUUUCAUAAACAAUUUAUAAAGCACUGUCCUGGAUGAAAUUGUAAAAAGGACGUGGUGUCAAAGAUGACUCAGUGGAGUUGAGGUGAAAAAUGUGUAAUGAGCAAAUCAUGGUAAUUGGGAUAUCCAUCACCUCAAACCCUUAUCAUGUCUUUGUGUUGAGGACAUUUCAAAUCUUCCCUUCCAGCUAUUUUGAAAUAUACAACAAAUUAUUGUUAAGUGUAGCCACCCUAGUGUGCUACUGUACACUAGGACUUACUUAUUCCUUCUAUCUAACUGUAUUUUUGAACCCAUGAACCAACAUCUCUUUGAUUUCCAGCCUGGGCUUUGGUGUCCCUUUUUUUGUGUGUUUUCAUAGGGCCCUAUAUUUAUAUUAUUUGGGCUCAACACAUUGCAAAACUGCAGAGGAGUUUACUAUUAUGCACAUUAUUAUUCUAUAUUCUGUCACUCUAAGAAACAAUAAGUGACCAUCUGAAGAGACCAUCUUCUAGCACCAAAAUAUUUAAAGAUGAUUAAGAAUAAGACAAGGGUCUCCUUAUUUACAAAAUGACAUAAUUGAAAGGACUAGAUUAUUAGCAACCCCUCUGGAAAAGGAUUACUCUUUUGGAUUUUAAUUACAUAACUAAUAUAUCAACUGAAGUGCUAUGCCCUGACGUGUGCUCCCCUCAGCUUCACGAUCCAUAUGUUGAAACCCAACCCCUUAAUGUGAUGGCAUUUGGAGAUGGGGCUUUGGAGAUAUUAGUUAGGUUUAGAUAAGGUCAUGAGAAUGGGGCUCUUAUGAUGAGAUGAGCACCUUCAUAAAAAGAGACACGAGGUAUUUCUCUUUUCUCUCUUCUCUCUCUCCCUCUUUCCCUCCCUCCCUCUCUCCUCCUUCUCUGUCUUCCUCCUUUAUGUGAGGACAUAGCCAGAAGGCAGCUGUGUCUGCAAGCCAGGAAGAAAGCCCUCACCAGGAAUCAACUAUAUCAGCACCUUGAUCUUGAACUUCUAUCCUUAGAACAGAGAGAAAAUGAAUUUCUAUUCUUGAAGCCACCCAGCCUACGGUAUUUUGUUAUGGCAGUCAAGCUGAAUAAGAUAUAUAUCUACACUGAGACCAUUAAAAGUAGUUCCUGAUUGGCAGAAAGGUUGUAUAUAUAAAUGGCUCAUUGAAAGUUCUCACUGCAUGGAUGAGAAAUCUCAGAUUGAGGUUCUUAAAUUUUGAAAAAUAGAAAUAAAGGAAUUAACGCAACAGUCUUCUAAUCUUUCUGCCUUCAGUUUUUGCUCCCUUUGACUAUUCUCUGUACACUGCAUCCAGAGGUUAUAUUUUGACAGGGAAAUUCAAAUGAUGUAUAUUAUUUUUCUACUCAAAAUCUCCCCACUGGCACCCUAUUGUCCUAAAGCAUAAACUGCUAUUGCAGUCAAUUCACCUGAAAUAAGCUCUCUUCCUGCCGCGUCUUUUACAUAGAUUGUUUACUCCUCUUGUGAUCCCAGUUCCCUGCUUCUCCCUCUCCUCCACACUUUUCAAUAAUUAAAUUAUACUCAGCGUUCAGAAUUCAGUCAGGAUAUCCUACCUUCUUUGGUCAGCCCCCCAGGGUUUUCUGAAAGCUGGGAAGAGGCCCUCUUCUGCAAUCCCCAUGCACUGUAGACACAUCCCCUUUAGGUCCCUAUGUUGUGAGUGACUGUUUUCUUGUCUGUCUCUGCCACUAUAUUAUGCACUCUUAGAAGGCAAGGACUACUUCUCUUCAUUGUAUACCUAGAACUUAACCCAAAAACUGGCAUGUGCAUGCACCCAAGUUUUCACUGAGAAAAUAAUUGCAUGAGUCACUUGCUUUCCAGGUCUUUCUGACUACUAUGAUGGUGAUGACUUGUAGUCACAACAUGAAAUUGGUUUCUGCCCCUGAGGAUUGUAUCUCUCUACUUUGCAUGACCCCUAGAUUUCAAUCCCUCUUUAUUCUCUCCUGAUCCUUGGGUUCCAGUAAUUCUCUGGGUUUCAAAUAUAAGCACAGUGUGAGGAGCUCUUCAUUCUUGACAGAACUUUCAGGCAAGAAAGAAAUAGAUUCCUGGGAAUAUCUAUAUUCCCUCUGGCCCUAUUCCUUACUCCCAAAACAUAAUAACCCUUUUCUUAGGUUUUUUCUCUCUACCUUUUUACUUCUUCCUUAUUCUCACGAUUACAUGAAUUAACUGCCUACAGAGUAUGAAUUCAGACUGAAUUAAUAUGUAUUUAUGUGACAUAAAAGAUCUCUUUCAGUACUUCUUAAUCUUACCAAAUGAUGCAUACUAUACAAUAAAAAAUUGCAAUUUUUUCAUUAGCUUUUUUUUUUUUUUUUGGUUUCUGGUAGGGUUUUCCUUUAGUGGUAUUUUAGCAAGUAAUACAAUCCAGUUAUUUUUAAAAGUAUAUUAGUAGAAACUCACCAGAAGUCAAUAUACUGGUCCAAGAAUAAUUAACUGAUUGACUUUAUUGUUUAUGAAACUUUGUAAUGUUCCUUUUGAUGUGAAUGCUUAUCUUAGGGGGAAAUGCACUUUUCAAAUAUAAAUGAUCAUGUUUAAACAAACUGCUUCUAGUUUCAAAUAUGGCACUGAAAAACAAAAUAAAAUAAACACUCAAUUUUUAUUUAAAAUGGUGGGCAAUUUACUUUCUUUUUUGUUUGGGAUCUGAUUCAAGAGCCUCAAUUCAGCUUAUUGCAGAACUAACUAAACUAAACCUCAAAGGAAAAAUUUUAAAAAUGAUUUUUAUAGCAAUGACAUCAUUAUAUAAAAUGUUGGCAUUUCAUAUUUUCCAAACAGAAACUUGGAAAUAACAGAAUACAAGUUAAAUAAAACAAAUUGAAACUAAUCCAAUUCUCUGUUUUUCUUUCCCUUUUUAAAAACCAAGCUUUUUAUUGCCAGCUUUUACUUUGCAUAAUAAUAUAUGAUGAAUUGUCCAAGAAAGACCCAGUGGGUACAUUUCUCUUAGAAAUAAGCCUCUCUAUGCAAUAGGAGGCCAAGUUCUAGGGCAACAUACUUAUAUAAUCAUGUAAGAUUUUCCUUAUUGCUAACAAUUGACCAACCUGGGCAUUUGUCAAAUAUGUAAACACAUGGAGGUCACUGGUCACCAGAGGAUUGAAAACACAAAUCACUCUAUUCAUAUCCAUCCCUAGUUCUAGAAAAACAAUACCAAAUUAAAGCAUAUAUCCUACUAGCAAUAGGACUAGCAAAAUUAUUUUGGUAUACCAGAGCUACAUGUUAUACAUUUUGCUACUUAUGGAUUUAAUUACUCAGGAUAAUUAUACACAUGGCUACAACUGUAAACUUUAUAAUAUUUUGCUGGCAUACCUUCCAAAAGAGUUUGAAAAGCUAUGAAUUUAAUUCUAUAUUUGCAUUUGACAUAUAAAGUAC